UCCCGGAUGGUGUAAUGGUAACACAGCGCCCUUUGGAGGCGUUAUUCAUGGUUCGAAUCCAUGUCCGGGAG
rnacentral:tRNA from 3 species